rnacentral:rRNA from 1 species
AUUGAACGCUGGCGGCAUGCCUUACACAUGCAAGUCGAACGGUAACGGGCCUUCGGGUGCCGACGAGUGGCGAACGGGUGAGUAAUACAUCGGAACGUGCCCGAUCGUGGGGGAUAACGAGGCGAAAGCUUUGCUAAUACCGCAUACGAUCUACGGAUGAAAGCAGGGGACCGCAAGGCCUUGCGCGGACGGAGCGGCCGAUGGCAGAUUAGGUAGUUGGUGGGAUAAAAGCUUACCAAGCCGACGAUCUGUAGCUGGUCUGAGAGGAUGAUCAGCCACACUGGGACUGAGACACGGCCCAGACUCCUAAGGGAGGCAGCAGUGGGGAAUUUUGGACAAUGGGCGCAAGCCUGAUCCAGCCAUGCCGCGUGCAGGAUGAAGGCCUUCGGGUUGUAAACUGCUUUUGUAUGGAACGAAAAGCCUUCUUUUAAUACAGGAGGGUCAUGACGGUACCGUAAGAAUAAGCACCGGCUAACUACGUG